rnacentral:rRNA from 1 species
AAUAGAUACCCGGGUGGUCCACGCCGUAAACGAUGCUAACUCGUUUUUGGGCCUUUGGGUUCAGAGACUAAGCGAAAGUGAUAAGUUAGCCACCUGGGGAGUACGUUCGCAAGAAUGAAACUCAAAGGAAUUGACGGGGGCCCGCACAAGCGGUGGAUUAUGUGGUUUAAUUCGAUGAUACGCGAGGAACCUUACCAAGGCUUAAAUGGGAAAUGACAGGCUUAGAAAUAGGCUUUUCUUCGGACAUUUUUCAAGGUGCUGCAUGGUUGUCGUCAGCUCGUGCCGUGAGGUGUUAGGUUAAGUCCUGCAACGAGCGCAACCCCUGUCACUAGUUGCCAUCAUUAAGUUGGGGACUCUAGUGAGACUGCCUACGCAAGUAGAGAGGAAGGUGGGGAUGACGGUCAAAUCAUCACGGGCCCUUACGGCCUUGGGCCACACACGUAAUACCAAUGGCCAGUACAGAGGGCAGCUACACAGCGAUGUGAUGCAAAUCUCGAAAGCUGGUCUCAGUUCGGAUUGGAGUCUGCAACUCGACUCU